rnacentral:rRNA from 1 species
CACGUAGGGGGCGAGCGUUGUCCGGAAUCAUUGGGCGUAAAGGGUGCGUAGGCGGCGCGGUAAGUCGGAUGUGAAAUCUCGGGGCUUAACUCCGAAACUGCAUUCGAUACUACCGUGCUUGAGGACUGGAGAGGAGACUGGAAUUUACGGUGUAGCGGUGAAAUGCGUAGAUAUCGUAAGGAAGACCAGUGGCGAAGGCGGGUCUCUGGACAGUUCCUGACGCUGAGACGCGAAAGCUAGGGGAGCAAACGGG